GAGUUUGAUCGUGGCUCAGAUUGAACGCUGGCGGCAGGCCUAACACAUGCAAGUCGAGCGGAUGACGGGAGCUUGCUCCUUGAUUCAGCGGCGGACGGGUGAGUAAUGCCUAGGAAUCUGCCUGGUAGUGGGGGACAACGUUUCGAAAGGAACGCUAAUACCGCAUACGUCCUACGGGAGAAAGCAGGGGACCUUCGGGCCUUGCGCUAUCAGAUGAGCCUAGGUCGGAUUAGCUAGUUGGUGGGGUAAUGGCUCACCAAGGCGACGAUCCGUAACUGGUCUGAGAGGAUGAUCAGUCACACUGGAACUGAGACACGGUCCAGACUCCUACGGGAGGCAGCAGUGGGGAAUAUUGGACAAUGGGCGAAAGCCUGAUCCAGCCAUGCCGCGUGUGUGAAGAAGGUCUUCGGAUUGUAAAGCACUUUAAGUUGGGAGGAAGGGCAGGUUACCUAAUACGUGAUUGUUUUGACGUUACCGACAGAAUAAGCACCGGCUAACUCUGUGCCAGCAGCCG
rnacentral:rRNA from 1 species